AUCGCCGGCGGCCAUCCCUAGCUCCCACAGCUCCGGUCCGGUCGCUUCGUCUCCGCCUUAGCGAGACCAUUUCAGCUUUAUACAGGUGACGUCGCAGGUCCGAGUGGGACGGCAGGUGAGGAGCGAGUCUAGCGCGCGUUAGAGCUCCGUCCCGUUUGGUUAUCUCUUUUCCCUUGCUUGAAUAAAUAGUAAACUUUCAUUACGGUUCAGUUUCAUUCGGUA